UAAAUAUUUGUAGUCCUCGUCUUUGUGAGUAAUAUAAAAAAAAAAAGAAAACAGAUUUCGAUUAUCAUUACUUCGUCGGGAGGUAUUACAAUGGGUAAUAUGUCUUCGUGGGAUACUCCGUACACAUUAUACGUAUGUAGCCCGUACAUAAGAACGUGCGAAAUUCGUAAAUGUAUCGCACGAGUUCAACGCGUAGACGCGGCCCGAAACCGUUAAGAUUACUUUAAAACUGGUCUGCGAGUCCGCGAAAAAUGUAAAUAAUUAUUAUAAACAGGUGGAUACGCAAACAGAAAAAAAAAUUAUGUUCUCUAUAACGGCACCGCCGAAGAACGAAAAAGUUUCGGUUGUAAUUAAUUUUUAAAAUUGAUACGUUCGCGUAGUAAUGCACCGAAAAAUAUGCGACGACACGCAUUUCAUCCCCUGCUUUAAUUACCGUCUCUGUAUAACAGUGGCGAAACAAGAAAAAAAAAAACUGAAAUCUUUUUAUCGUCAUGGAAAUCAACUCGGCGCGUGACUACGGACGAAAUGAUAAUGUUAUUAUUGUAAUGAUAUACAGUCGACGCAACAUAGCGGUUUAAUAGUUUAAACCAGUCGGGUUAUUAGGUCAAUUGUCAAAAAAAAAAAAAAAAAACAAGUUCUUUAUAGGUUUAACGGUCAGUAAUAAACGAUGAAGUAAUAAUAAUAUUAUGCACGGGACGGCGAUCAGUGGUCACCGUCUUCCUCUCGACUGUCCCAUUCUCCCAACGCUGUAACGUCAUUUUGUAAAGUACAAAGUGUACAAACGCCUCGCGUUAUUCGGAAGAAAAAUUUUUUUAAGCGGUCGGGGUAACUACGCGUAGGGACGUGAAUAUUUUUUGAUAUAAAAUUUCGACUAAAAUAAGCGGUUCUGUGCAUCAUAAAAACAAUUAUUCGUAUAAAUUGUAGCGACGGGAUGAAAUACGCUUCGGGCAAAACAAUAUUGCGCGGGUGAAUUUUCCCUGUAGCUUGGUACAAGUAGGGCGAAUGUUGAAACAAAAAAAUAAAUUGAAAAUCGAGAAAAUAAAUUUAUGUCCGG